UGUAUACUCCAUCCGUUCCAAAUUACUCGUCGCAGAAAUGGAUGUAUCUAGAACUAAAAUACAUCUAGAUACAUCCAUACUUGCGACAAGUAAUUCAGAAUGGAGAGAGUACAUC
rfam:Triticum aestivum genome assembly, contig: Triticum_aestivum_CS42_TGACv1_scaffold_641621_T_2AL-0.182605_3AL-0.154495